rnacentral:rRNA from 1 species
GAUGAACGCUGGCGGCGUGCCUAAUACAUGCAAGUCGAGCGAAUGGAUUAAGAGCUUGCUCUUAUGAAGUUAGCGGCGGACGGGUGAGUAACACGUGGGUAACCUGCCCAUAAGACUGGGAUAACUCCGGGAAACCGGGGCUAAUACCGGAUAACAUUUUGAACCGCAUGGUUCGAAAUUGAAAGGCGGCUUCGGCUGUCACUUAUGGAUGGACCCGCGUCGCAUUAGCUAGUUGGUGAGGUAACGGCUCACCAAGGCAACGAUUCGUAGCCGACCUGAGGGGGUGAUAGGCCAAAGUGGGACUGAGAAACGGCCCAGACUCCUACGGGAGGGAGCAGUAGGGAAUCUUCCGCAAUGGACGAAAGUCUGACGGAGCAACGCCGCGUGAGUGAUGAAGGCUUUCGGGUCGUAAAACUCUGUUGUUAGGGAAGAACAAGUGCUAGUUGAAUAAGCUGGCACCUUGACGGUACCUAACCAGAAAGCCACGGCUAACUACGUGCCAGCAGCCGCCGUAA